UAGGAAUUAUGGGCAAAUGGCGGAAGCCCUGAACAACCCAGCCGCCUUCCAGAAAGACGCCCUAAUGGUUGUUAACCUGCUUUUGUAAGGGAUUAAACCCCCGUCGUUGUCCGGGGCUGAGGGUACCUGAAGAAUAGCAAUCGGCUAACCCUGUGCAGCAGCCGCGGUAAUACGGAGGAUGCAAGCGUUAUCCGGAUUCAUUGGGUUUAAAGGGUGCGCAGGCGGAUUGAUAAGUCAGGGGUGAAAUCCCACAGCUCAACUGUGGAACUGCCUUUGAUACUGUUAGUCUUGAGUAUAGUUGAAGUGGGCGGAAUGUGUCAUGUAGCGGUGAAAUGCUUAGAUAUGACACAGAACACCGAUCGCGAAGGCAGCUCGCUAAGCUAUAACUGACGCUCAUGCACGAAAGCGUGGGGAUCAAACA
rnacentral:rRNA from 1 species